UUUAGUACCGCCCUUAACCAAAGACUCUUGAGUGUGAAGGUAAAUCAAGAAUGCUCGACAAGACAUUUUGGACGGGCUGCAACAGUUCCAUAGAGAAACUUCCGCAGUUGAAUCAAUACUAUAAGGAUAAAUUCUCUUUGGAAGUUGGAGGUUAUUCAGUGAUUAGAGUGAAGGUUCAGUUUAAUAACAGUUAAGUUAGGAUGAAAGAGGGGUUUGCGAUUAUCAUAUUGUGUUUGUCAUCAACAAGGAGAAGGAGGGUGAGUUUUGGAGUUUUAUUGAGGAGAGCAGGACAGCUGCAGUAAGAUCAGGGGGAGCAUAGGAGAUUCUCAAUCAAUUAUCACAGAUUUCUAAAAUUUUAUUUCCGUAAUCAAAACUCAAUCAAUUAUAUAUGUCAGACUUCAUCUUAAAUUUGCUUAUUGUUGGAGUAUGGAUUUAUGUGGUUU